CAACGACCUCCUGUGACCCCUUAGAGGAUGACUGAUUUCUUUUGGUGUUCAGAGUCAAUAUAAUUUUCUAGCACCAUCUGAAAUCGGUUAUAAUGAUUGGGGAAGAGCAUCAUGCAGCCA
rnacentral:precursor_RNA from 13 species